GUGGGGAAUAUUGGACAAUGGGCGCAAGCCUGAUCCAGCAAUGCCGCGUGAGUGAGGAAGGCCUUAGGGUUGUAAAGCUCUUUCGCACGCGACGAUGAUGACGGUAGCGUGAGAAGAAGCCCCGGCUAACUUCGUGCCAGCAGCCGCGGUAAUACGAAGGGGGCGAGCGUUGUUCGGAUUUACUGGGCGUAAAGGGCGCGCAGGCGGCUAUUUUUGUCAGGCGUGAAAGCCCCGGGCUUAACCUGGGAACAGCGCUUGAGACGGGAUGGCUAGAGAUCGGGAGAGGAGAGUGGAAUUCCCAGUGUAGAGGUGAAAUUCGUAGAUAUUGGGAAGAACACCGGUGGCGAAGGCGGCUCUCUGGACCGAUACUGACGCUGAGGCGCGAAAGCGUGGGGAGCAAACAGGAUUAGAAACCCCUGUAGUCC
rnacentral:rRNA from 1 species